GGAUUCCCCUAGUAACUGCGAGUGAAGCGGGAAAAGCUCAAAUUUAAAAUCUGGCAGUCUUUGGCUGUCCGAGUUGUAAUCUGGAGAAGUGUUUUCCGCGCUGGACCGUGUACAAGUCUCUUGGAAUAGAGCGUCAUAGAGGGUGAGAAUCCCGUCUUUGACACGGACUACCAGUGCUUUGUGAUGCGCUUUCAAAGAGUCGAGUUGUUUGGGAAUGCAGCUCAAAAUGGGUGGUAAAUUCCAUCUAAAGCUAAAUAUUGGCGAGAGACCGAUAGCGAACAAGUACCGUGAGGGAAAGAUGAAAAGCACUUUGGAAAGAGAGUUAAACAGUACGUGAAAUUGCUGAAAGGGAAACGCUUGAAGUCAGUCGCGUUGUUCAGAACUCAGCCUGGCUUUGGCUUGGUGCAUUUUCUGAAUAACGGGCCAGCAUCAAUUUUGACUGUUGGAUAAAGGCUAGGGAAAUGUGGCUCCUUUGGGAGUGUUAUAGUCCUUGGUUGCAUACAAUGGUUGGGAUUGAGGAACUCAGCAUGCCUUUAUGGUCGGGGUUCGCCCACGUUCAUGCUUAGGAUGCUGGCGUAAUGGCUUUAAACGACCC
rnacentral:sRNA from 1 species